rnacentral:sRNA from 1 species
GACUGGCUACAUAUCGAAACGUUGACCCCGACUAUGCCCGAACCCGUCUCUUCGUUUAUGCGGCUAUCAUUGAACAUAUAACUUUUUGUUUCGCCAAUAUCAAGUAGUAGAAUAUUCUUCUAAAGCUUGCGCAUCAAGAAACCACAAGAGACGUGACACUGGAGGCACCAAUCGCUUCAUCAUCUGGUCAUUUUGGGCAAUCUCUCAGAAGAAAACGCUGUGAAUCAUGCAUCACUUCCUCGGGAAAGCGGCGACCCACCAGCAUAGUCAACUUUUGGAACCACGAGACCUUUUUGUAGUGUAUCAUUGAUCUGAAUGGAGAGGCAGUUUAGAAUCAAAUUGCUGUGGCUUGGUUUUGACAUACUGCAACCCUAUUUUACUAAACCCACUGAGUCUUAUUCAGUGCCAUUCAUGUAAAUGGAGAAUGUGAUCCAGUGUCUAUGCCUUUAUCCUUUCGGAUGCUAGCAAAUUCUCCCACUCGAGCUUGUGCUUUUUGUUUUAACUUGUUUUUAUUUUUUAAACUUGUCACAGAGUGAAGACGGAGCUUUCACUACACCCAUGCCACUGAGUGCAACGGUAUCCACGUGGCAUUACUGCAGCUGGCAGAGCUGCUGUAGUUGCUCCAGUGGCACACUUCGUCGCACCAUGUGGAGACCAAAAUGGAGCUCACCAAUGGUUGCAUGUGGCAUUAGUGUGCAAGCUGACAACCUGUUAAACAUGGAUCUAAGAUAGAAAUGCACCAAUAGAUUUAUAUAAUUCGGAGUGGCAUCUCUUGAUUUGAGAGCAGACGACACUUCAACAGUGUUUUAGUUUAAGAGAACGUGUGUGUUUUUUGGUAACAACAGAUAAAUUGGUAUAUAUGCCGUAAGAUACUGGGCAAAAGCGCCACUUCAUUCGAGCGCCCUCUAUUAACAUUUACUCAACUUGGGAAUUCUGCAAAUGGUACGUUAAGUGCCCGAUUUGACUGGGCAAGUGUCCAUGCCUAGAAUAACCCAGUUUUCAGUAAAAGUAAGGUAGGCGCCCCCCUGGGAUUUUACGAUAAAUGUUUUUUUGUGAAACCGUAAAUUUUUUAAUGGCUGUCUCGCACCAUUAAUGUCAUGGCCCGAUGACAUCAAUGGUAUGUUCACCUAUGACACCAGUGCUGAUCAGCACUGAUGUCAUGGGUGAGCAGUGAUGCCUUUCAUCUUUGUGCAGCCUAUACUGCGUUUUACAGCCUUGACAAGCUACUUUCAGUUAGAAAACAUAACUGCUUUGAUUCCAUGAUUUCGUGCCAAGAGAGCCUCGGAUGGCGAAAGGGACAGCCCCCUCUCAGCAAGGACGGGUCGGACGGGUGACGAAGAAAGAUCCAGCUGCAAAUGUAGAAAGAAAUGCCAGUGUUGCUUCUGCCCUUACUCCAGCCACAUUGUUUCUGAGAUGACGGUACAGAAAAUGACAUAGAUUCCACAAGGGUGAAAGGCCAUUGCAGUGCUAGGUUCACCAAAGAGUUUGCACAAACCUCCAGCUUGCUAUGCCAUUGAAAUGUUCGUACAGAAAAAAUAAAUUAGUGUGGACAUGUAAAAGACAUCUUUGCUCUGUACAACUUUUUGUAUCACCAGACAAUUUGCAUGGAAGAGCAGCCACACAAGUAUUAGCCCAGUGGAAAACCAGUUACAAGACAUUUAAAUGAGCACCAGAAGUGUAGACAUCUAAAAGCUACUAUCGCAUGACGUUUGUAUAGGAUGUUUUCUCAGAAAAGUCAUCAGCAGCUCCCUGGUGCGUUUAAUUGCUGCUAAUGAGCCCUGGUGGUUAAAAUUUCAUGAAUGGUGGUUGCUGCGUAGGAUUAAAUAUUUGCAGUGCUUGCCCACAAUCUUCUGUUGCCCAUUAUCUUGUGUUGAGUAAAUAAAAAAAAAUUAAUUCUCGGAAGCUCUUUUGAAAUUUUGCAUAUAAAAACUGUGCUGGUGUUACAGGAAGCUGUAACUGCAAUAUAUAGCCACCUCGGUGCCUUUGAGGCAGAGCACCAGCUUACGGAUUCCUAGGUGGCGGGUUUAAACCCUGGCCGGGGUGCCUGUGAUAUGACGAAGGCAUAUUGCGGAGAAGGUGCCAUGUAACCGAGAUUUCGGUUGCACAUCGAGAGAUCCCCAGGCGAUCAAGAUUAAUCCUGCCCUCUGCUGGGACAUAUUAGACGCCCUUCUUUGGUUUGGCAUGUAAAACCCCGAAACUUGUUGUUGCAGCUGCACUGUGCACACUAUUGGUAUAAAGUAAAUUUAACGAUUGUUAAUUUUUUUUUUUUUUUUUUCAAUUAUAAACAUUAGUUACUGCCCCUGCAGCUCCAGAAGUGUUUGCAGUCGUGCAAUUCGUAGUAGUAACAAAGCAUACUUGUUUCUAACUUGGGAACUUUGUUUUUUAUAUAUAGGUACACCAUUGGUCAGUGACAGCUUAAGCGUUCAGGGAAAACUCCUCCCUCCCCCUUUUACUUUAGCAGAGCAAACACGAGAGGAGGCAAUCUCUUCAGCAUCCGCUCUGUUAAGGUGGAAAGAGGCGAGAGGAGCUCGCCAAUAGAUUUCUGAGAACAGUUUUUACUGUUUACAAAAUGAAAGUGCCUUGGAGAUGUACAUAAAAUCUAUGUAUGGUGUAGUUGUGGUUGACACUAUAUGAAAGGAUUUCCUUGGGUUACCUUUAAUUUCUUAUGUCUGAAGUUUUUUUUUUGUAUUGUUAAUAAAGUUUUUCUAUUGGUUGAGUAAUGGCAGUAGUACACUUUUGUGUGAUUUGUUUCAUGUGGUGGAUCACUGGAAACAAACUUCUCUGUCCAUGUCUAAUUUUCUUUGUAUGACAUGUUGUACCCAACCCUGCAAUAGCUUUCAGUGGACAGCCAUCAAUAUGUCUAAUCAAAAGUAUUGUCAUUUUGUUAAGGGGUCAGACUGGAUGUCACCUUCUGCCAAAUUAUGUAUUACUUAGUGUUUUAUUCCAAAACUUUCUGUGUGUUCCAGUUGUGUAUAUUGUCAGUGUACUGCGUAUGUUGUCUCUGCAUGUGCAACCGAUUUCCUUUGCACAUGAUGCAUUUCCCAUCUCUGCUAUAGCUCCCAACUGUAGAAGUGUCACAAACUGUGUGAACCUGCAGUGUUCAAUGUUAAAAAAAUCGAAGGGAACUAAAAGUAUGCCUAUUUCACGUGCCUCCCCUACAGGGCCCAUCAAGAUAGCCUCGGACGAUGACUGGCAAGACUUUGACUACGACGACGAUAGCAACCGCUUCUCUUCCCAGGAAGGGUGGUACAGGCCGCGAUCCGGGAGGAAGGCGCACCCGAAGAAGGGUCGGCACAAGUGCCGUUUCUGCUCGUACUCGCGCAACUGCAAGAGCAACAUUGUCAUGCACGAAAGGACUCACACGGGGGAGAAGCCGUUUGGCUGCCGCUUCUGCCCUAAAUCGUUCAGGCAGAAGGGUCAGCUGGUGUGUCAUGAGAGAACGCACACGGGCGAGAAACCCUUCCAGUGCCCCAUCUGCCACCGAGCGUUUGCUCACGUGAACAGCUUGGCGUAUCACAAAAAAAUUCAUGCAGAGCAGAUGAGGGUCGUGCAGCUGUAAUGUCCAACAAACAGCGUUUGCACGAAGCAGUGGUUUAACUCUUCGUCAAACAAAGAAUGAGCCGAGUGAACCUAUACGCUUUAAAUGUCAGUUUAGUAGUCCGCAUACCUUGCAAAGCCGAAGUGUACUGUUCCGAGAAAAGCCUUAUGUCUAGUGUUUUUGCAGCCAUUCUUUCGUGCAAUCAGUAAAUUUUUGUGUGUAAAAUAAUGUGUAACUUCUUGCGGAGGGCAACUGUAGGUGACGAGAUAUGCAUAUCCAAAUAAAAUGUUUGGAGUUAAAA